AUUGAACGCUGGCGGCAUGCCUUACACAUGCAAGUCGAACGGCAGCACGGGUGCUUGCACCUGGUGGCGAGUGGCGAACGGGUGAGUAAUACAUCGGAACAUGUCCUGUAGUGGGGGAUAGCCCGGCGAAAGCCGGAUUAAUACCGCAUACGAUCUACGGAUGACAGCGGGGGACCUUCGGGCCUCGCGCUAUAGGGUUGGUCGAUGGCUGAUUAGCUAGUUGGUGGGGUAAAGGCCUACCAAGGCGACGAUCAGUAGCUGGUCUGAGAGGACGACCAGCCACACUGGGACUGAGACACGGCCCAGACUCCUACGGGAGGCAGCAGUGGGGAAUUUUGGACAAUGGGCGAAAGCCUGAUCCAGCAAUGCCGCGUGUGUGAAGAAGGCCUUCGGGUUGUAAAGCACUUUUGUCCGGAAAGAAAUCCUUGGCCCUAAUACGGUCGGGGGAUGACGGUACCGGAAGAAUAAGCACCGGCUAACUACGUG
rnacentral:rRNA from 1 species